AGGUUCAACUCCUCUUAAGCCCACCAUUGGGGAAUUAGCUCAGCUGGGAGAGCGCCUGCUUUGCACGCAGGAG
rnacentral:tRNA from 1 species